rnacentral:rRNA from 1 species
AUUGAACGCUGGCGGCAGGCCUAACACAUGCAAGUCGAGCGAGCGGCGGACGGGUGAGUAAUGUAUGGGGACUGGACGAUCGAGGGGGAUAAAUACUGGAAACGGCUGCUAAUACCGCAUACUAUCGGAUUACCCAGAUGGGAUUAGACAGUAGGUAAGGUAAUGGCUUACCUGGGCGAAGACCCCUAGCUGGUCUGAGAGGAUGAUCAGCCACACUGGGAAUGAGACACGGCCCAGACUCCUACGGAGGCAGCAGUGGGGAAUAUUGAACAAUGGGCGCAAGCCUGAUGCAGCCAUGCCGCGUGUAUGAAGAAGGCCCUAGGGUUGUAAAGUAUUUUCAGUCGAGAGGCGUUACCUACAGAAGAAGCACCGGCUAACUCCGUGCCAGCAGCCGCGGUAAUAC